UACGUAGGGAGCGAGCGUUGUCCGGAUUCAUUGGGCGUAAAGAGCUCGUAGGUGGUUUGUUACGUCUGCUGUGAAAACCUAGGGCUUAACCCUGGGCCUGCAGUGGAUACGGGCAGACUAGAGGUAGGUAGGGGAGAAUGGAAUUCCCGGUGUAGCGGUGAAAUGCGCAGAUAUCGGGAGGAACACCGGUGGCGAAGGCGGUUCUCUGGGCCUUACCUGACACUGAGGAGCGAAAGCGUGGGGAGCGAACAGG
rnacentral:rRNA from 1 species